rnacentral:tRNA from 1 species
GGUCCCGUGGUGUAGUGGUUAUCACGUCUGCCUGUCACGCAGAAGAUCGCGAGUUCGAACCUCGUCGGGACCGCCA